GAUGAACGCUGGCGGCAUGCCUUACACAUGCAAGUCGAACGGCAGCGGGGGAGAAGCUUGCUUUUCCUGCCGGCGAGUGGCGAACGGGUGAGUAAUACAUCGGAACGUACCCUGUAGUGGGGGAUAACUAGUCGAAAGAUUAGCUAAUACCGCAUACGACCUGAGGGUGAAAGUGGGGGACCGCAAGGCCUCAUGCUAUAGGAGCGGCCGAUGUCUGAUUAGCUAGUUGGUGGGGUAAAGGCCUACCAAGGCGACGAUCAGUAGCUGGUCUGAGAAGACGAUCGGCCACACGUGGACUGAGACACGGCCCAGACUCCAACGGGAGGCAGCAGUGGGGAAUUUUGGACAAUGGGCGAAAGCCUGAUCCAGCAAUGCCGCGUGUGUGAAGAAGGCCUUCGGGUUGUAAAGCACUUUUGUCCGGAAAGAAAUGGCUCUGGUUAAUACCUGGGGUCGAUGACGGUACCGGAGGAAUAAGGACCGGCUAACUACGUGCCAGCCGCCGCAGUAA
rnacentral:rRNA from 1 species